AAAUGGUGGUGAGUUGGAUACAGUAAAUAACUCUAACCGCAGUUUACUACACCACGCUUGUCGACUAGGUACCACUGAAACCGUUACGUAUUUGGUUAAUGAAGUAAACUUAGACAUUAAUCACAAAAACAAUAAUGGUCGUACACCAGCAUUUUUUUGUUGUUGGUCUGAGAUUAACCCUGUUGAUAAACUGAUGAUAUUAUCGUCAAAUGGUGGUGAGUUGGAUACAGUAGAUAAAUCUAACCUCAGUUUACUACACCACGCUUGUCAAAGUGGUACCACUGAAACCGUUAAGUAUUUGGUAAAUGAAGUUAAAUUAGAUAUACACCAUAUAGAUAACGACAAUGACACUCCAUUAUUAUGUUGUUUCUUUUCAAAGAUUCAAAAGAUGGAAAAGAUUUAUUUUCUGAUAUCAAAAGGUGCUCAGAUCACUAUAUGUCGACCAUAUAAAGAUGUCCUGAAGGACGAGGAUGACUAUGAUAAAUGUAAUUAUCUAUUACAUCAUAGCUGUUAUCUAGGUACAUUAGAAACAGUGAAAUAUUUAGUCAAUGAUGCUGGAUACGAUGUAAAUUAUACUGACGAUGACAAUAUGACAGCUUUGAUCUGGUGUUUUAAAACAAAGAUUGGACGGAAGGAAAAGAUUAAUUUCCUCUUAUCUAAAGGUGCAAAGAUAGUUUAAUCAUAUAAACAUUACCUUCAAUCAUAUCCUCCAACCUUGUUAGUUUUCUCCGGGUUCUCCGGCUUCCUCCCAUAUGUUAGUCCCAAAAUGACCUAGUUUGUGUCGUGUGGACAUUAAACACCAUGAAGUGUACGCAUAGGCAUACAGGGAAAUUUUUGACUGGGGGGGCGGUGGUGGUUGGUGUCCAAAAAAUGUAGUUAGGUUCUUAGUAUGUUACAUCAUAAUAAUAAAUUCGCUGUUAAAUUGGACACAUUCAAGAACACAAUAUUUUUUUUAUACAACUUUUACAAAGUACAAUUGUGUGCCCAAAUUUUCCCAGCAUUUGGUGCCCAAAAUGGGGGGGGGGGGGGCGGCCGCCCCCCAGCCCCCCCAGCUUGUACGCCUAUGAGUGUACGUGUUGUUAGGUCAUUAUUAAAUUAGAAAAAAUCAACAGAAUGUUUAUUACGUGACUCAAGAGCAAUGCCAUGUUUUCUUGUCAAAUAAUGGAGUCGUGGAACAUAAUCCAGUACUUAUUAUAAAUAUGUAAAUUUAUAUCUAACGAGGUUGAUACUUGAGAACAUGUUAAUAUUUAUAUCUAACGAGGUUGAUACUCGAGAAUAUGUUAAUAUUUAUAUCUAACCUGGUUAAUACUCGAGAAUAUGUUAAUAUUUAUAUCUAACGAGGUUGAUACUCGAGAAUAUGUUAAUAUUCAUGUUCUGUAUAUUUAAAGUUUCUAGUUAAAUCAAGAAAAAUACAUUACAGAAAACAAAAUGAAAUGGUGUUUAACGACCUACUUUACUGUUCGGCACCAAAUGGUCUAAUGAAGACGCGUCAAAAAUAACAAAGAUUUCAGUUUCACUCAUAAUGUUUACCUGAUCCUCACGAAAAGGUUCAAUGUCACUAUCUCAAAAGGUACUUUUAACAAUCGCAUGGUAUUGGUUCGUAUUACUCCAGGUUAACAAAUAGUUUUAGACUCAACAAAAUUCAAAAAGCCCAAAAUUAAAUGAUGAAUUUACUCUUUCGCGUUAUUGCACUGGAACAGAUCUAAACAAUUUGUCCGUUUGCAUAUGUAAAAGAAUUUAUUAUUAUAUAUACUCCAAUAUGCCAAUAACUUGUUUUCAAAACUAAUACGAGCUUGAUCGAUAAAUGAUAAUCCUUAAUCUGCGCAUGUAGAAGAUUUGAAAGUGAUAUUUUCUUGGUUGACCCUUUUCCCGUCAAAAUCAUAAUAUGUAAUAUAUAAUAAGGUCUAAUUCAAAUCAUAAUAUGUAAUAUAUAAUAAGGUCUAAUUCAAAUCAUAAUAUGUAAUAUAUAAUAAGUAUAAUACACAUUUAACCCACCUGAGUAUUAAAUAUAAACAUGAAUAUUCGACCUUGUCGUUAUGAUUAUUAUUGUAUUUGUUUACAAGUUAAAGAUAGUGGUAUAAAAUCAAUAAAAACAAAUGUAAACAUAAUUUAGAACUAAGCGAUUUGAAUAAUGAUUGUGAUUGAUCCAAAAAUAAUUAUUAUAUUUAAACCAGGUAUACAUCAGUUAGAUCUGAAUGAUCUGAAUAAUGAUUAUAUUUACCUAUAUAUCAUCAAUAUAUUUAAUCUUAUUACAUGUAUAUUCAGGGUUUAAUUAUCAUUUGUCAUGUUUUUUGUAUCCUCGUGUAACUAUGGUUCAUGAUUUUAAUCAUCUGUCUGUUGACAAUAAGAAACGUGUAUUGUUAAUUUUAUUAUACCUUUCGCCAACGUUUUGCCUGGUUCACUACACAAGUUUUUUAGGUAGGCUUUAGUCUUGACUUUGUAAUGACUGUUUCGGUACUCUAUCUUUUAAACACAGGGUCUUGUCAGUAGAAGACAGAUUAUUGUUGUCAAAAAUGUGUGGUUUGGGGUACCACGAGGACCGGUGGGCCCAACCCUGUCCACUAUGUAAACAGCACCAAUAGUUAGAAAUGAAAUGAAAUGAAAUAAACCAUCUAAAUCUGUUAAUUUCCAUGACAGUAAAUAUUUGUACUUGUAGAAUAUAUUAAUGAAAUGAAAUUAAAAUUUGGAUGUCAAAUAAUUCCUUAUGUUUAAAUGUACACGUGUUAACUAUUAUUUAUCACAUAGUUUUACGAAUUUAUUAUUUAGUUACAAUAUAUGUUAAUAAUGUUACUCUGUCAAUACAUCUGCCAUAUUAAAAGUUAACACGCCUUCAAGGAACCGAUGAAGUGAAUACAAUAGCUGUUAUUUCUUGGUAUAUAGAAAAACCUUUUCUUAUCACACUCCAAACCUUUGGAAUAAACACCCUCUUGCUAUCUGAAACAGCGGUGUCUCGGUUGAAUACGCCCCCCCCCCCCUUGCUAUCAGAAACAGCUGUGUCUCGGUUGAAUAAACCCUCUCUUGCUAUCAGAACCAGUGGUGCCUCGGUUGCUAUUAGAACCAGUGGUGCCUCGGUUGCUAUUAGAAACAGCGGUGUCUCAGUUUAAUAAACCCCCUCUUGCUAUCAGAAGCAGGGGUGUCUCAGUUGAAUAAACCCCUCUUGCUAUAAGAAACAGUGGAGCCUCAGUUGAAUACCCCCCCCCCCCUUGUUUUUUAUGUUGAUAGUUCUUAUUAAAAAUCUUAUGGAAGCUUUACAAGUUAAAUAUAGAUAUUAAUAUAUUUGAUUUAAUUGUACAAGUUAUAUAGAUAUAUUUAUAUAUUAUAUUUUAUUGAUGUCAUAUCCUAUUAUAACUAAAGGGUGAUAUCGUAGACAAGCUAAAGGUCUUGUAGAGGGAAGGUAUAUAUUUAAUAUUUUAUUGUAAGUUAUUUAUAUAUUGUAUUGACGUCAUAUCCUGUGAACGCUUGAGAGACGGAUGUGCUCUAUAUAUAUGUCGUUAUGAUAAAUAAAUCAGGAACAAGGCAUGUUGUAUUCUUAAUGCCAACUAAUUACCCAUAAUAGUCCGUGUUCUUAUAUAACAAUCUCUUUUAAUCAAUUUAAAUUUAUAUAAAAACAGAAAGGUGUCAAGAUUAAUUACUGUACCUGCGCAGUGAUUUCACCUGUAAGAAUUAGAAUACCUAGAAACAGAAUUGGAUUUAAUAUGUCAACACAAGAGUAGAAAUGUAGAUUCAUUAGAUUAAUAUUUAUUUAAACUAUUACUAUACAUUACAGAAAACAAAAUGAAAUGGUGUUUAACGACAUACUUUACUGUAGCUUUUGAUUAAAUGUUUUACAUCUUGUAUAUAUGAUUAAAUGUUUUACAUCUUGGAUGUAAAUUUAAAAAUUCAAUCUUUAAAUAAAUAAAAUGUUUUUAAUCUGU